rnacentral:rRNA from 1 species
UACGUAGGGUCCGAGCGUUGUCCGGAAUUAUUGGGCGUAAAGAGCUCGUAGGCGGUUUGUCGCGUCUGCUGUGAAAUCCCGAGGCUCAACCUCGGGUCUGCAGUGGGUACGGGCAGACUGGAGUGCGGUAGGGGAGAAUGGAAUUCCUGGUGUAGCGGUGGAAUGCGCAGAUAUCAGGAGGAACACCGAUGGCGAAGGCAGUUCUCUGGGCCGUAACUGACGCUCAGGUGCGAAAGCUAGGGGAGCGAACAGG